AUAAUGGCUUGGCCAAAUGGUUAUGCUGUCCGCACCGUAAGCGGAAGAUCAUGGGUUCGAUUCCCAUCUGUUCCA
rnacentral:tRNA from 1 species